rnacentral:rRNA from 1 species
AUACGGAGGGUGCAAGCGUUACUCGGAAUCACUGGGCGUAAAGCGCGCGCAGGCGGUCUUUUAAGUUGGAUGUGAAAGCCUACGGCUCAACCGUAGAACUGCAUCCAAAACUAUUAGACUAGAGUGUGGGAGAGGAAGAUGGAAUUAGUUGUGUAGGGGUAAAAUCCGUAGAGAUAACUAGGAAUACCAAAAGCGAAGGCAAUCUUCUGGAACACUACUGACGUUGAGGCGCGAAAGCGUGGGGAGCAAACAGGAUUAGAAACCCUAGUAGUCC